UUGUGUCGAGUAACUUACCUCGGAAGAAAUUAUCUUUGCGGCAGACUUCGGACAGACACUGUGCCACAGGACGUUUAUUAAAACGACCACAGAGUUAUGAAUGUGACACAGCUCUAUUAAAACAUAUCUCCCAAGUGAAAAGUUCGACGGUUUGUCGGGCUAGCUAAAGUUGGUAGCUUGCUAACACCGUGCAAGCCGUGCUAGCUAACAUACACACCAGGCACCUAAGUUAACCUCCCCACUUAUAUCGCCAUGCAUUACUGGACCUGUUUUUGUAUCUGUACUGCUCCAUGAGCGUUUUCUCGCAAAUCUGGAAGGCGAAAAACACGCAAAUUAUCACUUUGCCGCCAUUUUCGUGUUGGCGUUUUUAUUUAUUCAUAAAGAGAUGCAUUUUCUUGAGCUAACCACUGGGGGCGUAGUUCGUGUAACCUGAUGGAGCCACAGGACCAAUCCUGUCGGGAUUCAGGGGUCUCCAUUUCACCUCAAAUUGAUUGAGACUGAGAAGAACUGAACUGAAGAUCGGCUUACCUAAGUGAGAUGUUGGGGCGAGGAAGUUUCCAGGAUGGUGGGGCGGAUGACCGAAUGGACCUGCUGAUGGGUGUGUGGGACCUGAGCAGGGAGAGACAAAAACAUCCAUCAACCGCUGACUGCAAUGUUGUGAAAUAGAUCUGACACACUCACCUGCAGCAGAGAAGAGCGUGGCGGGUCGUGCCAAGUCGCUGGGGUGAUGGAUGGCGCCGAAGAGGCUGGGGCCCGGAGGUCGACUCAGGAACUCCGGCUUGAGGCCAAAGUCUAGCUUGUGA